rnacentral:rRNA from 1 species
GUAGGGGGCAAGCGUUGUCCGGAAUCAUUGGGCGUAAAGCGCGCGUAGGCGGCCCGGUAAGUCCGCUCUGAAAGUCCAAGGCUCAACCUUGGGAUGCGGGUGGAUACUGCCGGGCUAGAGUCCGGAAGAGGCGAGUGGAAUUCCUGGUGUAGCGGUGGAAUGCGCAGAUAUCAGGAGGAACACCAAUAGCGAAGGCAGCUCGCUGGGACGGUACUGACGCUAAGGCGCGAAAGCGUGGGGAGCGAACAGGAUUAGAUACCCUGGUAGUCCACGCCGUAAACGAUGGGCAUUAGGUGUGGGAGGUGUCGACUCCUCCCGUGCCGUCGCUAACGCAUUAAAUGCCCCGCCUGGGGAGUACGGCCGCAAGGCUAAA